AGUCUAGGGGGUGUAGCAAUACAUCACCGGCGGACGGGUGCGUAACGCGUGGGAAUAUACCUAUUGGUUCGGAACAACUGAGGGAAACUUCAGCUAAUACCGAAUGUGCCCUUACGGGGAAAGAUUUAUCGCCAAUGGAUUAGCCCGCGUCCGAUUAGCUAGUUGGUGAGGUAACGGCUCACCAAGGCUCCGAUCGGUAGCUGUUCUGAGAGGAAGACCAGCCACACUGGGACUGAGACACGGCCCAGACUCCUACGGGAGGCAGCAGUUGGGAAUCUUGGACAAUGGGGGAAACCCUGAUCCAGCCAUGCCGCGUGAGUGAUGAAGGCCUUCGGGUUGUAAAACUCUUUCGACGGGGACGAUAAUGACGGUACCCGUAGAAGAAGCUCCGGCUAACUUCGUGCCAGCAGCCGCGGUAAUACGAAGGGGGCUAGCGUUGUUCGGAAUUACUGGGCGUAAAGCGCGCGCAGGCGGCUUUUCAAGUCAGUGGUGAAAGCCCGGAGCUCAACUCCGGAACUGCCAUUGAAACUGUAAAACUUGAGGACGAGAGAGGUGAGUGGAAUUCCCAGUGUAGAGGUGAAAUUCGUAGAUAUUGGGAAGAACACCGGUGGCGAAGGCGGCUCACUGG
rnacentral:rRNA from 1 species